GUAGGGAAUAUUGGGCAAUGGUCGGAAGACUGACCCAGCCAUGCCGCGUGCAGGAAGACGGCCCUCUGGGUUGUAAACUGCUUUUAUCUGGGAAGAAAAAGGCCAUGCGUGGCAAAUUGCCGGUACCAGAUGAAUAAGCACCGGCUAACUCCGUGCCAGCAGUCGCGGUAAUACGGAGGGUGCGAGCGUUGUCCGGAUUUAUUGGGUUUAAAGGGUGCGUAGGCGGCUGAUUAAGUCAGCGGUGAAAGACUUCGGCUUAACCGGAGCAGUGCCGCUGAUACUGGGUGGCUUGAGUGUCGGAGGGGUACAUGGAAUUGAUGGUGUAGCGGUGAAAUGCAUAGAUACCAUCAGGAACACCGAUAGCGAAGGCAUUGUACUGGCCGACAACUGACGCUGAUGCACGAAAGUGUGGGGAUCGAACAGGAUUAGAUACCCGGGUAGUCC
rnacentral:rRNA from 1 species